ensembl:snoRNA
ACUGCUCAUAGAGACAUUUCACGUGUGGCCUCUGUUUCACACGUGUGUCCAUAGGUGGCAGAAAGGACAAAAUGUCUGCUCUUAGUGUUGUGACCUGUGAAUGUCUGAAUGAUGAGAUGCCUAACACU